AACACAGAGUGGAAGAACAUAAGAAGCUAUGUGGAAGAAUUGUUAGAAACUAUGUGUCGAGGGCGGCGGUGUCCUCCAAGGCGGAUGCAGGUUCCCAGAUCAGACGAUUGUAUCCUACCCAUUUGACAAGGUAUUUGCAGCGGCGGUGGUUGGUUCUAUUGUCAAGAAUUGCUUUGAUUUCCCACUCAAGUUCAUUGUCUUCUUCUAUGAUGGCGGGUGGCUGCCAAUCGAAGGUUCUCUGUGAGGGGAAUGGAUCCUCGGCCGU
rnacentral:sRNA from 1 species